rnacentral:rRNA from 1 species
UACAGAGGGUGCAAGCGUUGUUCGGAAUUAUUGGGCGUAAAGGGUGCGUAGGCGGUGCGGUAAGUCUGUAGUGAAAUCUCUGGGCUCAACUCAGAGUCUGCUAUAGAAACUGCCGUGCUUGAGUGUGGGAGAGGUGAGUGGAAUUCCUGGUGUAGAGGUGAAAUUCGUAGAUAUCAGGAGGAACACCAGUGGCGAAGGCGGCUUUCUGGACGGUAACUGACGCUGAGGCGCGAAAGCGUGGGGAGCAAACAGG